UGGGGAAUAUUGCACAAUGGGCGAAAGCCUGAUGCAGCAACGCCGCGUGAGUGAUGAAGGCCUUCGGGUUGUAAAGCUCUGUCUUUUGGGACGAUAAUGACGGUACCAAAGGAGGAAGCCACGGCUAACUACGUGCCAGCAGCCGCGGUAAUACGUAGGUGGCAAGCGUUGUCCGGAUUUACUGGGCGUAAAGGAUGCGUAGGCGGAUUUUUAAGUGAGAUGUGAAAUACCCGGGCUUAACUUGGGCGCUGCAUUUCAAACUGGGAAUCUAGAGUGCGGGAGAGGAGAAUGGAAUUCCUAGUGUAGCGGUGAAAUGCGUAGAGAUUAGGAAGAACACCAGUGGCGAAGGCGAUUCUCUGGACCGUAACUGACGCUGAGGCAUGAAAGCGUGGGUAGCAAACAGGAUUAGAUACCCUGGUAGUCCACGCCGUAAACGAUGAGUACUAGGUGUAGGAGGUAUCGACCCCUUCUGUGCCGCAGUUAACACAAUAAGUACUCCGCCUGGGAAGUACGAUCGCAAGAUUAAAACUCAAAGGAAUUGACGGGGUCAUAGCUGUUUCCU
rnacentral:rRNA from 1 species